rnacentral:ribozyme from 1 species
AUGUCGGGUUUGGUCUCGUUGGUCUUGGUUUUGGUUUUGGUCAUCCCGGUGGUCUUGGUGUCGUCGGUUUGGGACAUGUCGAUUCUUGGUCUUGUCGGUCUUGGUCAUCUCGAUCUCGGUCUUCUCUCCUGGAAUUCCAAUCUCUUUUUCGUUUUCUGCCUUG